rnacentral:rRNA from 1 species
GUGGGGAAUAUUGGACAAUGGGCGCAAGCCUGAUCCAGCAAUGUCGCGUGGGUGAAGAAGGUCUUCGGAUCGUAAAGCCCUUUCGACAGGGACGAUGAUGACGGUACCUGUAGAAGAAGCCCCGGCUAACUUCGUGCCAGCAGCCGCGGUAAUACGAAGGGGGCUAGCGUUACUCGGAAUUACUGGGCGUAAAGGGCGCGUAGGCGGCUCUGUUAGUCAGGCGUGAAAUUCCUGGGCUUAACCUGGGGACUGCGCUUGAUACUGCAGGGCUUGAGGCCGAGAGAGGGUGGUGGAAUUCCCAGUGUAGAGGUGAAAUUCGUAGAUAUUGGGAAGAACACCGGUGGCGAAGGCGACCACCUGGCUCGGUUCUGACGCUGAGGCGCGACAGCGUGGGGAGCAAACAGGAUUAGAUACCCCAGUAGUCC